rnacentral:lncRNA from 1 species
AAAAAAUGAUGACAAAAAAAAGAUAAUAAAAAUUGGCAAAGAAAAAUGCAUUCAUUUGCUCUGCAUCAAUCAAAGCUGGGGGCAUCCUAAGAAGCACCAUCAAAGGGGAAGUUUUGAAGGGUAAUCAUGGAAAGGAUCCAGCAAAGGGUACGCAAGACUUCAAACAGUACCGAGGCAAAGCCGAUUGAAGGGGUUAGGGCCAGAAUGGUUUCUCCGAAAACCCAGGAAUGGAAGAUGCUCCGACAG